GCGACCCCAGGAUGGGCGGGGCCACCCGCCGA
rnacentral:rRNA from 1 species